rnacentral:rRNA from 1 species
AGAGUUUGAUCCUGGCUCAGAACGUACGCUGGCGGCACGCCUAAUACAUGCAAGUCGAACGAAGUAGCAAUACUUAGUGGCAGACGGGUGAGUAACAUGUAGGUAUCUUCCCUUUGGUGAGGAAUAACACGAGGAAACUUGUGCUAAUACCUCAUAAGUCUUUACGGAGAAAGCUUUAUGCGCCAAUGGAUGAGCCUGCACUUGAUUAGUUUGUUGGUGGGGUAAUGGCCUACCAAGACUUUGAUCAAUAGCUGAUUUGAGAGGAUGAUCAGCCACAUUGGGACUGAGACACGGCCCAAACUCCUACGGGAGGCAGCAGUAGGGAAUCUUGCACAAUGGAGGAAACUCUGAUGCAGCGAUGCCGCGUGAGUGAAGAAGGCCUUUGGGUUGUAAAGCUCUUUCGUCGGGGAAGAAAAUGACUGUACCCGAAUAAGAAGGUCCGGCUAACUUCGUGCCAGCAGCCGCGGUAAUACGAAGGGACCUAGCGUAGUUCGGAAUUACUGGGCUUAAAGAGUUCGUAGGUGGUUAAAAAAGUUGGUGGUGAAAUCCCAGAGCUUAACUCUGGAACUGCCAUCAAAACUUUUUAGCUAGAGUGUGAUAGAGGAAAGCAGAAUUUCUAGUGUAGAGGUGAAAUUCGUAGAUAUUAGAAAGAAUACCGAUUGCGAAGGCAGCUUUCUGGAUCAUUACUGACACUGAGGAACGAAAGCAUGGGUAGCGAAGAGGAUUAGAUACCCUCGUAGUCCAUGCCGUAAACGAUGUGUGUUAGACGUUGGAAAUUUAUUUUCAGUGUCGCAGCGAAAGCAAUAAACACACCGCCUGGGGAGUACGACCGCAAGGUUAAAACUCAAAUGAAUUGACGGGGACCCGCACAAGUAGUGGAGCAUGUGGUUUAAUUCGAAGAUACGCGCAGAACCUUACCAACACUUGACAUGUUCGUCGCGACUCUAAGAGAUUAGAGUUUUCGGUUCGGCCGGACGAAACACAGGUGCUGCAUGGCUGUCGUCAGCUCGUGUCGUGAGAUGUUGGGUUAAGUCCCGCAACGAGCGCAACCCUUACUUUUAGUUGCCAUCAUUUAGUUGGGAACUCUGAAAGAACUGCCAGUGAUAAGCUGGAGGAAGGUGGGGAUGACGUCAAGUCCUCAUGGCCCUUACGUGUUGGGCUACACACGUGCUACAAUGGCAUUUACAAUAGGAAGCAAGGCGGCGACGUCAAGCAAAUCCUAAAAAAAUGCCUCAGUUCGGAUUGUACUCUGCAACUCGAGUACAUGAAGCUGGAAUUACUAGUAAUCGUGGAUCAGCGUGCCACGGUGAAUACGUUCCCGGGUCUUGUACACACCGCCCGUCACACCAUGGGAGUUGGUUCUACCUUAAGGCAAAAUGUUAACCUUCGGGAAGCAUUUGACCACGGUAUAGUCAGCGACUGGGGUGAAGUCGUAACAAGGUAACC